rnacentral:rRNA from 1 species
GUAGGUGGCAAGCGUUGUCCGGAAUUAUUGGGCGUAAAGCGCGCGCAGGUGGUUCUUUAAGUCUGAUGUGAAAGCCCCCGGGCUCAACCGGGGAGGGUCAUUGGAAACUGGGGAACUUGAGUGCAGGAGAGGAAAGUGGAAUUCCACGUGUAGCGGUGAAAUGCGUAGAUAUGUGGAGGAACACCAGUGGCGAAGGCGACUUUCUGGCCUGUAACUGACACUGAGGCGCGAAAGCGUGGGGAGCAAACAGGAUUAGAUACCCUGGUAGUCCACGCCGUAAACGAUGAGUGCUAAGUGUUGGGGGGUUUCCGCCCCUCAGUGCUGCAGCUAACGCAUUAAGCACUCCGCCUGGGGAGUACGGCCGCAAAGACUG